rnacentral:rRNA from 1 species
UACGAAGGGGGCUAGCGUUGCUCGGAAUCACUGGGCGUAAAGCGCACGUAGGCGGCUUGCUAAGUCAGGGGUGAAAUCCUGGAGCUCAACUCCAGAACUGCCUUUGAUACUGGCGAGCUUGAGUCCAGGAGAGGUGAGUGGAACUGCGAGUGUAGAGGUGAAAUUCGUAGAUAUUCGCAAGAACACCAGUGGCGAAGGCGGCUCACUGGCCCGGUACUGACGCUGAGGUGCGAAAGCGUGGGGAGCAAACAGG